GACGAACGCUGGCGGCGUGCCUAAUACAUGCAAGUCGAACGAACAGUGUAUACCGUAGCCUGCUACACCAUAGACUGUGAGAUGCGAACGGGAGAGUAACGCGACGGUAACCUGCCAGGGAGCGGGGGGUAAGAAACGGCAACGAAAGCUAAAAACGCAUAAUAUUGAUUAUUGCAUGAUAAUUAAUGGAAAGGUGCAAUUGCACCACUACAAGAUGGACCUGCGUUGUAUUAGAUAGUAGGGGGGGUAACGGCACACCUAGGCGACGAUACAUAGCCGACCUGAGAGGGUGAACGGCCACAUUGGGACUGAGACACGGCCCAGACUCCUACGGGAGGCAGCAGUAGGGAAUCUUCCGCAAUGGACGAAAGUCUGACCGAGCAACGCCGCGUGAGUGAAGAAGGUUUUCGGGUUGUAAAGCUCUGUUGUACGGGAAGAACGGGUUUGUUGGUGAAAGGUUCACACUUUGACGGUACCUGACCAGAAAGCGACGGCUAACUACGUG
rnacentral:rRNA from 1 species